rnacentral:rRNA from 1 species
CCUACGGGAGGCAGCAGUGAGGAAUAUUGGUCAAUGGACGCAAGUCUGAACCAGCCAUGCCGCGUGCAGGAUGACGGCUCUAUGAGUUGUAAACUGCUUUUGUACGAGGGUAAACCCCGAUACGUGUAUCGUGUUGAGUGUAUCGUACGAGUAAGGAUCGGCUAACUCCGUGCCAGCAGCCGCGGUAAUACGGAGGAGCCGAGCGUUAUCCGGAUUUAUUGGGUUUAAAGGGUGCGUAGGCGGUUUGAUAAGUUAGAGGUGAAAUGUCGGGGCUCAACCCCGAAACUGCCUCUAAUACUGUUGGACUAGAGAAUAGUUGCGGUAGGCGGAAUGUAUGGUGUAGCGGUGAAAUGCUUAGAGAUCAUACAGAACACCGAUUGCGAAGGCAGCUUACCAAACUAUAUCUGACGUUGAGGCACGAAAGCGUGGGUAGCAAACAGGAUUAGAUACCCGUGUAGUC